rnacentral:rRNA from 1 species
AAUCAACGCUGGCGGCGUGCCUCAGACAUGCAAGUCGAACGAUUAAAGCUCUCUUCGGAGAGUGUAUAGAGUGGCGCACGGGUGAGUAACACGUAAGUAAUCUACCUUUGAGUGGGGAAUAACCCGGGGAACCCGAGCUAAUACCGCAUAAUGCAGCGGCACCGCAAGGUGACAGUUGUUAAAGGAGCAAUCCGCUUAAAAGAGGAGCUUGCGGCAGAUUAGCUAGNGGUAAGGUAAUGGCUUACCAAGGCUUCGAUCUGUAUCCGGCCUGAGAGGGCGGUCGGACACACUGACACUGAAUAACGGGUCAGACUCCUACGGGAGGCAGCAGUCGGGAAUUUUGGGCAAUGGGCGAAAGCCUGACCCAGCAACGCCGCGUGAAGGAUGAAGUAUUUCGGUAU